GCAGUCGCCGCGGUAAUACGAAGGGGGCUAGCGUUGUUCGGAUUUACUGGGCGUAAAGCGCACGUAGGCGGACUUUUAAGUCAGGGGUGAAAUCCCGGGGCUCAACCCCGGAACUGCCUUUGAUACUGGAAGUCUUGAGUAUGGUAGAGGUGAGUGGAAUUCCGAGUGUAGAGGUGAAAUUCGUAGAUAUUCGGAGGAACACCAGUGGCGAAGGCGGCUCACUGGACCAUUACUGACGCUGAGGUGCGAAUGCGUGGGGAGCAAACAGGAUUAGAUACCCCUGUAGUCCCUGUCUCUUAUAC
rnacentral:rRNA from 1 species